rnacentral:rRNA from 1 species
CCUACGGGAGGCAGCAGUGAGGAAUAUUGGUCAAUGGACGCAAGUCUGAACCAGCCAUGCCGCGUGCAGGAAGACGGCUCUAUGAGUUGUAAACUGCUUUUGUACGAGGGUAAAUCCCGAUACGUGUAUCGGGUUGACAGUAUCGUACGAAUAAGCAUCGGCUAACUCCGUGCCAGCAGCCGCGGUAAUACGGAGGAUUCAAGCGUUAUCCGGAUUUAUUGGGUUUAAAGGGUGCGUAGGCGGGUAUAUAAGUUAGAGGUGAAAUCCCUGGGCUCAACUCCGGCACUGCCUCUGAUACUGUCGAGCUAGAGAAUAGUUGAGGUAGGCGGAAUGUGUGGAGUAGCGGUGAAAUGCAUAGAGAUCAUACAGAACACCGAUUGCGAAGGCAGCUUACCAGACUACGACUGACGUUGAGGCACGAGAGCAUGGGGAGCGAACAGGAUUAGAUACCCGUGUAGUC